AACUCAAAGGAAUUGACGGGGGCCCGCACAAGCGGUGGAGCAUGUGGUUCAAUUCGACGCAACGCGAAGAACCUUACCUGGGCUCGAAGCGCAGUGGAAUGGGGUGGAAACAUCCCCGUCCGCAAGGACCGCUGCGGAGGUGCUGCAUGGCUGUCGUCAGCUCGUGUCGUGAGAUGUUGGGUUAAGUCCCGCAACGAGCGCAACCCUUAUCGUUAGUUGCCAUCGGGUCAAGCCGGGCACUCUAGCGAAACCGCCUCGGAUAACGGGGAGGAAGGUGGGGAUGACGUCAAGUCCUCAUGGCCUUUAUGUCCAGGGCUACACACGUGCUACAAUGCGCGGUACAAAGCGUCGCAAACCCGCGAGGGGGAGCUAAUCGCAAAAAGCCGUGCUCAGUUCGGAUUGGAGUCUGCAACCCGACUCCAUGAAGCUGGAAUCGCUAGUAAUCGCAGAUCAGAACGCUGCGGUGAAUACGUUCCCGGGCCUUGUACUCACCGCCCGUC
rnacentral:rRNA from 1 species